AUACUACUCCCUUCGUCCGAAAAAACUUGUCGUAAAAAUGAAUAUAAAGGAUGUAUCUAGAAUUGAAAUACAUCUAGAUACAUCCAUUCUGCGGACAAGUAUUUUUUGACGGAGGGAGUAGUAG
rfam:Triticum aestivum genome assembly, contig: Triticum_aestivum_CS42_TGACv1_scaffold_146762_2BS